CUGUGUUCAAAAUCUAUUGCUCUAUUAAAAAAAAAAAGAAAUUUUGGAAAAAAAAACUUUAAUAGUCAGUAAACUUAAACUAAUAAUUUGCCCCUGUGUGUCUGCAAACAUCUUCAAAGGCAGUAAUGGCAUUUAAAUGGUGUUUUGUGAAUUAAAUGUAUCAGCAUCAUCUAGCUUAGUUCUGUGAUAUGGUUUUAACUACGAUCAGCGAGACCUAGAUGAUCUUUGUAGAGAGAAAGGCCCAAAUGCAGACUCACAGGCAGGUGAAUAUUAAUAACCAACAAUCCAUUUAUUAAGGCUGAUGUCCAUGGUACAGAACUAAGAUGAAAACAGAAUGUGAAAGGCAACAGAGAAACUUUUAUAACUAAAACCUAGACUGGGAACGAACACUAGGCACUGGGGACACCUGCCUCAGGUGUUAUCAGUCCAUUCAAUGGGCCUUAUAAGCAGAAAUCAGCACCAUAGAUAUGGGCCAGCAUGGGCCAUCUCCACCUGCUAGUUUGUUCAGAAGGUUGUUAUCAUCCAUCCAGAUGGAGGAUCACCAACAGGAGCGUGGGAAGACUCCAGAAUCCACUCUGGCUGGAAUCCGGUGGAUACAGCAGUGUUACAGAUUUCAGAGGAACACUUUUAAAGUAUCCUUAAUACUUUAAAGCAGAACUGGAUUGGAAAUCAAAAGCUCCUUAAAAGCUUUUUCUGUUCCCCGACCGUCAAAGCCAAACUUCAGCCAUGAGAGCUGACGGGAUAUGACUUUUUAAAAUCAGAAACAAAGGUACAGUGAAUGAUAUUAACGGCAGGGAAACAACACUGGGGGAAGACAAGAAGAAGUGUUUCCAGGAGGAAGCUGCAGUGAGGACACAGCCGCCUCACACUGAGGAGGCACUGAAAGGUUCCCUAACAGUUCCUGGUGAAUCACAGCAGAACCAUAAAGGUUGCUGGGCUGCAUGAUGGCCUUAGCCCUGAGAAGCCAUCCUGUUACAGGAGGAGCAAUUAGAAGCUGUUUUCAAAGUAGCUGAGCAGAUUUCAUCUCAAAUCAAAGUGAAUCGUGAUGUUUCCGCUUCCAUUUUGAUUCCAAGAAGAAGAAGAAUGCUUCAAAGAAGUGGCGUUCAUGGUCUCAGUCCACAGUGUGACAAUCGUGGUCACACACUAGAUGUGCUUUUUAAAACAACAUGUUUCUUCACUUCAAAAACUUUGACAUGUGUCUUGUUGUUUGGAUAUGUAUAAUAUUAGUGCAUGUUAGGGUUUGUUGCUGAAAAUUGUUCACUUCUGUUUUGUAUUUUCAUGAUCACUUACACCAAAGAUAUUGUUUUAAAAAGUUUUGUUUUCAGAGUCUUUCUUAUAAAAUCCUGAGCCUGUAGUUUUACAUGAAUGUUGCUUUUUCAUUUAUGAUCUUGUAAUGCUUACACUACACUGUGCACAUCUACAUUAGAGACAUCUUAGUUACCUAUUUGUGAGACUGGGCUGCUUGACUAUUAUUUGGAAGUGUAUGUAAAAAGCAUGAUAUCAUUUCUUUUUUAAUAUGAUGGACUGAACUCAGGAGGUAUCUGCUUUUGACCAUGCAAAGAUUGAUCUGAUCCCAUUUAUACCUGUAUCUACUAUUUCAAGAUUUAGCUGAAGUUUGCUCAACUUUAAUUGUCAGGAUACAUGUUUAUUCCAGCUCUCAUAGUGCAAAGCCAUGAGACAGACCUAUUAAACUCAAUGCACAAUGUAAAGUUCAUAAUUCUCUGACAAAUAAAACUGU